GCGGGUAUAGUUCAGUGGUAGAACGUCAGCUUCCCAAGCUGAAUGUCGUGGGUUCGAGUCCCAUUACCCGCU
rfam:Pleurocapsa sp. PCC 7327, complete genome.